UGAUGAUGGUGAGGGCAAUUUUUAAGCAUACCCUUAAGACUCUCCCAAGCUUAGUAGAGAUUCUCUCUUUCUUUCUGUCUGAAACUUAGGAUCUCACUUCUCAAGCG